GAUGAACGCUGGCGGCGUGCCUAAUACAUGCAAGUCGAGCGAACAGACGAGGAGCUUGCUCCUCUGACGUUAGCGGCGGACGGGUGAGUAACACGUGGAUAACCUACCUAUAAGACUGGGAUAACUUCGGGAAACCGGAGCUAAUACCGGAUAAUAUAUUGAACCGCAUGGUUCAAUAGUGAAAGACGGUUUUGCUGUCACUUAUAGAUGGAUCCGCGCCGCAUUAGCUAGUUGGUAAGGUAACGGCUUACCAAGGCAACGAUGCGUAGCCAACCUGAGAGGGUGAUCGGCCACACUGGAACUGAGACACGGUCCAGACUCCUACGGGAGGCAGCAGUAGGGAAUCUUCCGCAAUGGGCGAAAGCCUGACGGAGCAACGCCGCGUGAGUGAUGAAGGUCUUCGGAUCGUAAAACUCUGUUAUUAGGGAAGAACAAAUGUGUAAGUAACUAUGCACGUCUUGACGGUACCUAAUCAGAAAGCCACGGCUAACUACGU
rnacentral:rRNA from 1 species